rnacentral:rRNA from 1 species
CCUACGGGGGGCAGCAGUGGGGAAUAUUGGACAAUGGGCGAAAGCCUGAUCCAGCCAUGCCGCGUGUGUGAAGAAGGCCUUCGGGUUGUAAAGCACUUUCAGUGGGGAAGAAAGCCUUGGGGCUAAUACCCUCGAGGAAGGACAUCACCCACAGAAGAAGCACCGGCUAACUCCGUGCCAGCAGCCGCGGUAAUACGGAGGGUGCGAGCGUUAAUCGGAAUUACUGGGCGUAAAGCGCGCAUAGGCGGUCUGAUAAGCCGGUUGUGAAAGCCCCGGGCUCAACCUGGGAACGGCAUCCGGAACUGUCAGGCUAGAGUGCAGGAGAGGAAGGUAGAAUUCCCGGUGUAGCGGUGAAAUGCGUAGAGAUCGGGAGGAAUACCAGUGGCGAAGGCGGCCUUCUGGACUGACACUGACGCUGAGGUGCGAAAGCGUGGGUAGCAAACAGGAUUAGAUACCCGAGUAGUC